rnacentral:rRNA from 1 species
UCUCAGUACGGCCUGUAAAAGGUGAAACCGCAAAAGGCUCAUUAUAUCGGUCAUGGUUCCUUGGAUCGUACAACGGUUACUUGGAUAACUGUGGUAAUUCUAGAGCUAAUACAUGCAACAGGGUCCCGACCGGCGACGGAAGGGACGCUUUUAUUAGACCGAACCGACCGGCGCGCCGUUCGCCCCUGCCGGGGAGAGCGGCCGUCGACCAUUUGGUGACUCUGAAUAACUUUGCCGAUCGCACGGUCUCCGACCGGCGACGCAUCCUUCAAAUGUCCGCCUCAUCAACUGUCGAUGGUAGGCUCUUGGCCUACCAUGGUUGUAACGGGUAACGGGGAAUCAGGGUUCGAUUCCGGAGAGGGAGCCUGAGAAACGGCUACCACAUCUAUGGAAGGCAGCAGGCGCGCAAAUUACCCACUCCCGGCACGGGGAGGUAGUGACGAUAUGUAACGAUACCGGACUCAUCCGAGGCCUGGUGAUCGUAAUGAGUAUACUCUAAACACUUGUACGAGUAUCGAUUGGAGGGCAAGUCUGGUGCCAGCAGCCGCGGUAAUUCCAGCUCCAAUAGCGUAUACUAGAGUUGUUGCGGUUAAAAAGCUCGUAGUUGGAUUUGGGUCCCGCGCGGCCGGUUCACCGAGUGCGGUGCACACCGCGCCGCCGCGGGACUUCAAGCCGGCGGCGGUCGGGCCCGGCGUCGGUUAGUACGGGAGGUCUCGGCCACGAGCCGGCGACCGACCGGGAAGCCGAGGCCCCGCUCCGGCCGCCUAAGCAUCCCGUCCCGGCGCUCGCAGGGCGCCGAGGCGGGCCGGCCCGUUUUACUUUGAACAAAUAAGGUUGCUCUAAGCGGGCUUGCACGCUCGAAUUUGGUCGCAUGGAAUAAUCGAAUAGGACUUCGGUUCUAGUCAGUUGGUUCUAAGAACCGAGGUAAUGAUCAAUGUGGACGGGCGGGGGCAUUCGUACUGCGACGUUAGAGGUGAAAUUCUUGGAUCGUCGCAAGACGGACCUCAGCGAAAGCAUUUGCCAAGUACGUUCCCGUCGAUCAAGAACGAAAGUUAGAGGUUCGAAGGCGAUCAGAUACCGCCCUAGUUCUAACCAUAAACUGUGCCUGCCAGCGAUCCGCCGAAGUUCCUCCGAUGACUCGGCGGGCAGCUUCCGGGAAACCAGAGCUUUUCGGUUCCGGGGGAAGUAUGGUUGCAAAGCUGAAACUUAAAGGAAUUGACGGAAGGGCACCACCAGGAGUGGAGCCUGCGGCUUAAUUUGACUCAACACGGGGAAACUCACCAGGCCCGGACACCGUAAGGAUUGACAGAUUGACAGCUCUUUCUUGAUUCGGUGGGUGGUGGUGCAUGGCCGUUCUUAGUUGGUGGAGCGAUUUGUCUGGUUAAUUCCGAUAACGAGCGAGACUCUAGCCUGCUAAAUAGCCGUACCCGGUAUCCUUUGCGCUACCGGCGUACAAUCAAUUCUUCUUAGAGGGACCGGCGGCGUAUAGCCGCACGAGAAUGAGCAAUAACAGGUCUGUGAUGCCCUUAGAUGUCCUGGGCCGCACGCGCGCUACACUGAAGCGAUCAGCGCGUUUCCCCGGUCCGAGAGGACCGGGCAACCGUCUGAACCCGCUUCGUGCUAGGGACUGGGGCCUGAAAUUGUUCCCCACGAACGAGGAAUUCCCAGUAAGCGCCGGUCAUCAGCCGGCGUUGAUUAAGUCCCUGCCCUUUGUACACACCGCCCGUCGCUACUACCGAUCGGACGGUUAGGCGAGGUCUUCGGACCGGCCGUCGGACUCCCCUUCGGGGAGACCGUAACGCCGCGAAGUCUACCGAGCUUGGUCGUUUAGAGGAAGUAAAAGUCGUAACAAGGUUUCCGUA